GAACGCUGGCGGAAUGCUUUACACAUGCAAGUCGAGCGGCAGCGCGGGGCAACCUGGCGGCGAGCGGCGAACGGGUGAGUAAUAUAUCGGAACGUGUCCUGUAAUGGGGGAUAGCCCGGCGAAAGCCGGAUUAAUACCGCAUACGAUCUACGGAUGAAAGUGGGGGACCGCAAGGCCUCACGUUAUAGGAGCGGCCGAUAUUCGAUUAGCUUGUUGGUGAGGUAAAGGCUCACCAAGGCUACGAUCGAUAGCUGGUCUGAGAGGAUGAUCAGCCACACUGGGACUGAGACACGGCCCAGACUCCUACGGGAGGCAGCAGUGGGGAAUUUUGGACAAUGGGGGCAACCCUGAUCCAGCCAUUCCGCGUGAGUGAAGAAGGCCUUCGGGUUGUAAAGCUCUUUUGGCAAGGAAGAAACGGUUGUGGUGAAUAUCCACGACUACUGACGGUACCUGCAGAAUAAGCACCGGCUAACUACGUGCCAGCAGCCGCGGUAAUACGUAGGGUGCGAGCGUUAAUCGGAAUUACUGGGCGUAAAGCGUGCGCAGGCGGUUUUAUAAGCCAGAUGUGAAAUCCCCGGGCUUAACCUGGGAAUGGCAUUUGGGACUGUAAGGCUAGAAUCUGGCAGAGGGGGGUAGAAUUCCACGUGUAGCAGUGAAAUGCGUAGAGAUGUGGAGGAAUACCGAUGGCGAAGGCAGCCCCCUGGGCUAAGAUUGACGCUCAUGCACGAAAGCGUGGGGAGC
rnacentral:rRNA from 1 species